GCAGCCUCCGCCGCCGCCGCCUCCAUCGAUGAACCAUCCGCUACCGUCGCCUCCAUUCGCCAACCCAUCUAGCGUGCAUAUGGUGUUAGAGAGUCGUUGAUGAGGCAUGCCCGCCAUGGGAGGCAUGGCCGGAAUGGGAGGCUUUGGAGGCAUGGCCGACAUGGGAGGACCAAGCUAUGGAGGAGGCUUCAGAGGGUGUGGGAGCAUCGGUGAGUGGUGUGUAUGGAGCCAUGGAAGCACCACCGGGAGGAUUCGUGGCCUCUAUGGAUCCUACUCUUCCUCCUUCAAGCCAAGGUGUCGAUGAAGAAGAAGCAAAAGAUGACGAUGACUUGGAAAAUGCUGAAGUGUGAGAUUCUAUCUUGCAUUUGUGAUAUGCAAAUUCUGUGUUGCACUUUGUGUCCAUUUGAACUAUAUGAUGUGUGUGGUUGUUGGACUAAGUCAUGUUGUGUGUGGUUCUUGAACUAUGUGAUGUGUGUGUUGCACUUUGUCUCCAUUUAAACUAUGAUAGAUCAUUUGUUUGAUGAUUUAUGUGAGUAUUUGAUCAUGUUGAA